AUCCUACGGGAGGCAGCAGUGGGGAAUAUUGGGCAAUGGGCGCAAGCCUGACCCAGCAACGCCGCGUGAAUGAAGACGGCCUUCGGGUUGUAAAGUUCUGUCGCAGGGGACGAAAAUGACGGUACCCUGCAAGAAAGCUCCGGCUAACUACGUGCCAGCAGCCGCGGUAAUACGUAGGGAGCAAGCGUUGUCCGGAAUUACUGGGUGUAAAGGGAGCGUAGGCGGGAGGAUAAGUUGAAUGUGAAAUCUAUGGGCUCAACCCAUAGCUGCGUUCAAAACUGUUCUUCUUGAGUGAAGUAGAGGCA
rnacentral:rRNA from 1 species